CACGUAGUUAGCCGUCCCUUUCUGGUAAGAUACCGUCACAGUGUGAACUUUCCACUCUCACACUCGUUCUCCUCUUACAACAGAGCUUUACGAUCCGAAAACCUUCUUCACUCACGCGGCGUUGCUCGGUCAGACUUCCGUCCAUUGCCGAAGAUUCCCUACUGCUGCCUCCCGUAGGAGUCUGGGCCGUGUCUCAGUCCCAGUGUGGCCGAUCACCCUCUCAGGUCGGCUAUGUAUCGUCGCCUUGGUGAGCCGUUACCCCACCAACUAGCUAAUACAACGCAGGUCCAUCUGGUAGUGAUGCAAUUGCACCUUUUAAGCAAAUGUCAUGCAACAUCUACUCUUAUGCGGUAUUAGCUAUCGUUUCCAAUAGUUAUCCCCCGCUACCAGGCAGGUUACCUACGCGUUACUCACCCGUUCGCAACUCAUCCAGAAGAGCAAGCUCCUCCUUCAGCGUUCUACUUGCAUGUAUUAGGCACGCCGCCAGCGUUCGUCCC
rnacentral:rRNA from 1 species